UUAAAAAUAAAAGUUCUCUUUAGUUCAAGUGGGUUUUGCAAGGUACUAAAGGGUUUAAAAAAUGGGGAAUGAAUUCUACAAAAAAUGGGGAAUAAAUUAUAAGGAAGAAAUAUUUUAAAAUAAAAGUUCUCUUUUGUUCAAGUGGGUUUUGCAAGGUACUAAAGGGUUUAAAAAAUGGGGAAUGAAUUCUGCAAAAAUAAAUAAAUAAAAUGGGGAAUAAAUUCUACAAAAAAGUAAAAUAAAAUGGGGAAUA